GAACGCUAGCUACAGGCUUAACACAUGCAAGUUCGAGGGGCAGCAUGCUGGUAGCUUGCUACCAGUGAUGGCGACCGGCGCACGGGUGAGUAACGCGUAUCCAACUUCCAUGUCCACGGGAUAGCCCGUCAAGGGCGGAUUAAUACCGUAUGAGGUCACAUGCGGGCAUCUAAGUGUGACCGAAAGGUUUUGGCGGACAUGGAUGGGGAUGCGUCCGAUUAGCUAGUUGGCGGGGUAACGGCCCACCAAGGCGACGAUCGGUAGGGGUUCUGAGAGGAAGGUCCCCCACAUUGGAACUGAGACACGGUCCAAACUCCUACGGGAGGCAGCAGUGAGGAAUAUUGGUCAAUGGACGUAAGUCUGAACCAGCCAAGUAGCGUGCAGGAUGACGGCCCUAUGGGUUGUAAACUGCUUUUAUGCGGGGAUAAAGUGUGGGACGUGUCCCAUAUUGCAGGUACUGCAUGAAUAAGGACCGGCUAAUUCCGUG
rnacentral:rRNA from 1 species